rnacentral:SRP_RNA from 1 species
GCUGGGCGUGGUGGUGCACACCUGUAGUCCCAGCUACUUGGGAGGCUGAGGUGGGAGGAUCACUUGAGCCCAGGAGUUUGAGGCUGCAGUGAGCCGAGAUGGUGCCACUGCACUCCAGCCUGGACAGCAGAGUGAGACCCUGUCUCAA